rnacentral:rRNA from 1 species
GUUAAAAAGCUCGUAGUUGGAUUUCUGUUGAGAACGGCCGGUCCGCACUAUGUGCGUGUAUCUGGUUCGGUCUUGGCAUCCUCUUGGGGAACGGCGCUGCGCUUGAUUGCGUGGGUCGGUAUUCAAGACUUUUACUUUGAGGAAAUUAGAGUGUUCACGGCAGGCUUUCGCCUUGAAUAUAUUAGCAUGGAAUAAUAAUAUAGGAUCUUGGUUCUAUUUUGUUGGUUUCUAGAACUAAGGUAAUGAUUAAUAGGGAUAAUUGGGGGCAUUUGUAUUAACGCGUCAGAGGUGGAAUUCUUGGAUUGCGUUACGACAAACUACUGCGAAAGCAUUUGCCAAGGAUGUUUUCAUUGAUCAAGAACGAAAGUGUGGGGAUCGAAGACGAUUAGAUACCGUCGUAGUCUACACCAUAAACUAUGUCAACUAGAGAUUGGAGGUCGUUCUUUUUAUGACUCCUUCAGCACCUUAUGAGAAAUCAAAGUCUUUGGGUUCCGGGGGGAGUAUGGUCGCAAGGCUGAAACUUAAAGGAAUUGACGGAAGGGCACCACCAGGAGUGGAGCCUGCGGCUUAAUUUGACUC